UAUUUUUUAUAAUGUUUUGCAGUCCAGAUUAGCAUUGAAGCCAGAUGGAUUAUUUUUAGCAGCUAUUCUUGGGGGAGAAACAUUAAAGGAGCUCAGAAUAGCUUGUACAUUGGCACAGAUGGAGCGUGAAGGAGGGAUCAGUCCCCGAGUAUCACCUUUGGCACAAGCAUGUGUUAUUGUAAAAGAUGACAUGGUUGUGUGUUAAUUGUAAAACGGAGGGUGAUGUUUGGUUUCUUGGCGUAGCUUGCAAUUCUUGUUUGAUUUUUGAGAGUUAGCUACCGGUGAUGACCUGCUAUUGGUGCAUUCCCUACUAAGUUCCUUUCUAAUUACAUGACUUCAAUUAAAGGUGUAAUGUGUUGAUGAAGUUAUACUGUGCAUUCAUGUUGAUAAGUAACAUAGGAGGGAGUCAAUAUUGAA